CCUACGGGGUGCAGCAGUGGGGAAUAUUGGACAAUGGGCGAAAGCCUGAUCCAGCCAUGCCGCGUGUGUGAAGAAGGCCUUCGGGUUGUAAAGCACUUUCAGUGGGGAAGAAAGCCUUGGGGCUAAUACCCUCGAGGAAGGACAUCACCCACAGAAGAAGCACCGGCUAACUCCGUGCCAGCAGCCGCGGUAAUACGGAGGGUGCGAGCGUUAAUCGGAAUUACUGGGCGUAAAGCGCGCGUAGGCGGUCUGAUAAGCCGGUUGUGAAAGCCCCGGGCUCAACCUGGGAACGGCAUCCGGAACUGUCAGGCUAGAGUGCAGGAGAGGAAGGUAGAAUUCCCGGUGUAGCGGUGAAAUGCGUAGAGAUCGGGAGGAAUACCAGUGGCGAAGGCGGCCUUCUGGACUGACACUGACGCUGAGGUGCGAAAGCGUGGGUAGCAAACAGGAUUAGAUACCCUAGUACUC
rnacentral:rRNA from 1 species